CUCACAAAGUACAACUGCACCAUCACCAGCAACAAAUGCUGCUUCAACAACAACAACAGCACCAUCAACAGAAACUGAAGCUUCCACAACUACAGAGGUGACCCCCACAACCACUCUCAUAUCAUCACGAAGUACAACAACAACAGCACCAUCAGCAGAAACUGAAGCUUCCACAACCAUACAUGUCACCCCCACAACUACUCUCAUAUUCUCACAAAGUACAACUGCACCAUCAACAGCAACAAAUGCUGCUUCAACAAGAGCACCAUCAACAGAAACUGAAGCUUCCACAACUACAGAGGCGACCCCCACAACCACUCUCAUAUCAUCACGAAGUACAACAACAACAGCACCAUCAGCUGAAACUGAGGCUUCCACAACCAUAGAUGUGAUCCCCACAACCACACUCAUGUCCUCACCAAGUACACUUGCACCUUCAACAGUAACAAAUGCUGCUUCAACAACAACAACAGCACCAUCUUUAACAACUGAAGUUUCAACAACUGCAGAUCUGAACCCCACAACCAUGCCUGUAUUCUCUGCAUCUACAGCAACAGAUGAAGUUGCACUGUUUUCGACAACUGAAGCUUCUACAGCUGUGUCCCCCACAAACACUCUUAUAUCCUCAAUAACUGCUCCUAGAACAACUGCUGCUUCAACACCAUCCUCAACCACUGAAGGUUAUACAACCACAGCUGUGACCUCCACAACCACUGUUAUAUUCUUAGAAACUACAACCACGGCAAAUACUGCUCAAACAACAACAUUUUCAACAACAAAUGAAGCUUUAACCACCACAGCAGUGAAUCCCACAACUAUGCCUGUAUUCUCAAUACCUACACCAAAAGAAAAUUCUGCUCCAACAAUAAUUCCACUGUCUUCGACAGCUGAAGCUUCUACUACCACAGCUGUGAACCCCACAAAAACUCUUAUAUCAUCAGCAACUGCACCUACAACAACAACAAAUGCUGCUACAGCACAAUCUUUGACCACUGAAGGUUAUACAACCACAGCUGUGAACCCCACAACCACUCUUAUUUCUUCAGAAUCUAAAACAACAGCUUCUCCAACAACACCAUUGUCAACAACAAAUAAAGCUACAACCACCACAGCAGUGAAUCCCACAAUAACGCCUGUAUUCUCAGUACCUACAGCAACAGAAAAUGCUGCUCCAACAGAGACACCCUUGUCAACAAUUAAAAGUGAAGCUUAUACAACCACAGCUGUGACCCCCACAACCACAAUCAUAUCUUCACCAACUGCAACUGCACAAUCUUCAACAACUGAAGCUUCAACAAUCGCAGCCAGAAACCCCACAACCAUGCCUGUAUUCUCUCUACCUCCAGUGACAGAAAAUGUUGCUCCAACAACAACUCCACGGCCUUCGACAACUGAAGCUUCUACUACCAAAGCUGUGAACCCCACAACCACUCUUAUAUCCUCAGCAACUGCACCUACAACAACAACAAAUGCUGAAACAGCACAACCUUUGACCACUGAAGGUUAUAAAACCACAACUGAUAGCCCCACAACCACAGAAAAUGCUGCUCCAACAAAGACACCAUCUUCAGCAAUAACAACGGAAGGUUAUAAAACCACAACUGAUAGCCCCACAACCACAGAAAAUGCUGCUCCAACAAAGACACCAUCUUCAGCAAUAACAACGGAAGCUUAUACAACCACAGCUGGGAACCCCACCACCAUGCCUGUGUUCUCUGCACCUCCAGCAACAGAAAAUGCUGCUUCAACAACAACUCCAUUGUCUUUGACAACUAACGCUUCUGCUACCCAAUCUGUGAACCCUACAACCACUCAGAUAUCAUCAGAAACCACAAUAACAGCAAAAGCUGCUCCAACAACACCAUUGUCAACAACAAAUGAAACUUUAACAACCAAAGCAAUAAACCCCAUAACCAUGCCUGUGUUCCCAGAACCUACAACUGCACCUCCAGCAACAGAAAAUGUGGCUCUAGCAACAACAGCACGGUCUUCAACAAAGGAAGCUUCUACAACCACAGCUGUGAAUCCUACAACCAUGUCUGUAUUUCCAGAACCUACAACAAAUACUGCACCACCAACAACAGCAGUAACUUCAACAACUGACGCUUCUACAAUUACAGACCUGUACCCCACAUCCACACCUUUCUCCUCAGCAAAUACAAGUCCACCGAUAAGAACAAUAAGUGCUGCUCCAACACCCUCCUCAGUCACUAAAGCUUAUACAACCACAGAUGUGGCACCCACUUCCUUGCAUGUUUUCUCAGAACCUACAAUUGCACCUCCAGCAACAGAAAAUGGUGUCCUUACCUCAACACUUCCUUCAAUAUCUUCAACUUCUCUUGUAUCACCAAGCACAACAACCGUAUCUCCAACCACAAUACCACUUUUCACAAAAAACAUAACUGCUGCAGAAACAACAUUUGUUACACCCACAACCAUACCAAUGUUGUCAGAAUUUACAAAAUCAUUUCUAACAACCUCAUCUUUGCUAAAUGCAACAACAAAUGCAGUGACUCUGACUAGUCUUUCAGAAACACAAAAUCCAGCUCCAACUGCAUUUGUAUCUCAAAGCACAAAAACUGUGUCUUUAGCAACCACUGCACAAACUCAAGAAACCACUAUCCCAUUGUCAAUGUCAGCUACUGGUAUUUCGGCAAUUACAAGUGUGACUCCAAUGACUACGUCUGGAGCUACAACAAGUGUUCCUAUAAACUCAGCUGCUACAAUUGCAUCAAUUCAAACAACAGCAGUGGUGGCAAGCAAACUGCUAUUCAACUCCUCAUUUCCAGUACUCAGUGAAUCUCAGGUCCUCAGUGUUAUCAAUAAUCUCCUGAAAUCCAGAGAGUCGCAGCUCAGAGAAUCAUUGAAGGUUGUGAAUGUUACCUAUGAAAAAAUCUCAGAAACCUCAUAUGCUGUGGUCUUCACAUUUAACCUGGUUAACAUCAGCAUGUCAGAAGACCCUGAUUUCAGAGGCAACACCUACCAGCAAGUGAAGGAUAUCAUCAAUAAUGCGGUAAACAUUAAAAAUAAAAAAGUAUAAAUAGCUUUAGGUCCAAUGCCAUUCUUACCCAGAGGCUGAUGAAUGGUUUGAUUUUUCCCC
ensembl:lncRNA